CCCGGGUCUCACGUGCCCUGACUCCUGGUGUCUGUGCUGGCUGUGCUCUUAAUGUGUGGGUGUGCUGAGUGAUGGAGGUGCUCCCAGAUGGGCAGUUUGCCCUGUUAUUUAUCAGUCCUCCCAUUGCUCUUGUUGUCUGCAAGCCUGACAAGGAACAAAUUACAUGGCUGCGGUAACUCCUGAAGAACAUGUUUCCUUGGUUAUCCUGUGAAAGCUUUGUUUCCCAUUGGCAUGAUGAUCUUUGUAACAUAGAAUCAUAUAUUUUCUUCCCCGAUCCCCGCACUCAGAACGAAAUAAAACCCGUCUAAUUGCUGCCAUCUGAGCCGGAGGACUGCAAACAGAGAUGUGAAGGAGGCAGCACGGCUUGGAGCUGUAAAAUCCUCAGCACUCAUCCAUGGGUCACAACGGGGGAGGCACAAAUCUUUCCUCCAGCCCACCAAAGCGCUGUGCUCAGCGGGAAGGAGGGGCUCGAUGGAAUAUUCUGCCAUGAAGCAGAAGACUUCGCAGGGGGAAAAAAAGUGAAAAGAUACACAACAGUGGAGCUGCUUUCUUGGCUAAGCAUGAGGAAAACUGCAGGAGUCUGUGUUACUUACUCACUUGUGCAAAAUGUGCUUAGUUCCACAAAUGCAGCGGUGCCAGUCCUGCAGGUGUGUUAGCAGGUGAUAAGUGCUGUUCACGCGCUGAGUAAUGUGCUGGGGAAAGAAAUGACCACGUUUCAGGUGAGUUUAAAAUCCUGACAGGUACCAGAAGGAUAGGAAACAGCCAAUGCAAAUAGAUUAAGCACGGAACCUGUGUUUAAUGUAUGAAACUCUCUGAAGGCUCCUAAGGCAGCACGCGAAAAUACAAAAUCCCAGGUGUUUGAGCUGAACCCUUACAGCUCUGGGGAUUUUGCAGGCAGAAGCACUCACAUUCGUUGCACCAUGAUGUUCUCCCUUUCUUCCCCCUGCUCGCAGAGCUGCUGUGAUAGACGUGCAUCCCUCCCAGCCAACCCCGGACUGCAAGGAGACCACGCUGCAAAGCAAUGGAUCUGGGCAGAGCUUGGCCAGGCAGGGCUGAGAAUGUCACUGCAGAGCUGGCCAAGCUGCUCACCGCAACACACGAACCCCAGCUCCCGCCUGGUGCUGCCUGAAUGCUGCACGGAGCAGCCAUGUGAAAUAACUCCUGGGGUAGAUAGCAGUAAUCUGAGCGCAACUGCAGAUGAGAAAAUCCUGCCCAUUGUCCUGCCCUGAUGAAAUUAAACCCGGCACCUUGCACAGCUGCUGCCAAACCCGGCAGCGUUGUUCCUUUGUGCUCAUACGUAAGCUCAGUUCUCUGCCAUCCCACAAGGAGCAUCACUCACAGCCUGCGGGAAGACAAAACCUUCCUCCCAGUCUCACACAGCUCUGGUGCACCCAAUUCUGCUGUUACUGACAGUGGUGUAUUCUGGGGUGAAGGCCUGGCUUACAUCGCUACAUGAACAAUGGCUUGUUGUUGUUGUCUCCACCUUCCUUUGUACCUAAUAAAACAAGAUUUUGG
rnacentral:lncRNA from 1 species